GAUGAACGCUGACAGAAUGCUUAACACAUGCAAGUCUUUGGCGAAUCUGUGCUUGCACAGGCUAGCCAAGGCGGACGGGUGAGUAACGCGUAAAGAACUUGCCCUGCAGACAGGGAUAACAGACGGAAACGACUGAUAACACCUGAUACAGUUGCCGGCACGCAUGUGCCUGGCAAUGAAAAGAGAUGCUGCAGGAGAGCUUUGCGUCCUAUUAGCUUGUUGGUGAGGUGACGGCUCACCAAGGCGAUGAUAGGUAGCCGGCCUGAGAGGGUGAACGGCCACAAGGGGACUGAGAUACGGCCCGUACUCCUACGGGAGGCAGCAGUGGGGAAUAUUGGACAAUGGGGGCAACCCUGAUCCAGCAAUUCUGUGUGCACGAAGAAGGUUUUCGGAUUGUAAAGUGCUUUCAGCAGGGAAGAAGAAAGUGACGGUACCUGCAGAAGAAGCGACGGCGAAAUACGU
rnacentral:rRNA from 1 species